ensembl:miRNA
UUGUCCAUAUUGCCGGUCAACCUUCAAUGACGUGGAAAAGAUGGCGGCUCACAUGCGCAUGGUUCACGUGGACGAAGAGAUGGGACCUAAAACAG